rnacentral:piRNA from 1 species
UUUNGGACAAUGCCACUGUGGCCAUCACUGA